rnacentral:tRNA from 1 species
GGGGGUAUAGCUUAGUGGUAGAGCACAUGCUUAGCAUGCACGAGUUCUUGGAGUCAAUCCUCAGUACCUCCA